AGUGUGAGAAUUUGUUCUUCCACACUUCAUUGCAUCGCC
rnacentral:sRNA from 1 species